rnacentral:rRNA from 1 species
AUUGAACGCUGGCGGCAGGCCUAACACAUGCAAGUCGAGCGGAUGAAGGGAGCUUGCUCCUGGAUUCAGCGGCGGACGGGUGAGUAAUGCCUAGGAAUCUGCCUGGUAGUGGGGGAUAACGUCCGGAAACGGGCGCUAAUACCGCAUACGUCCUGAGGGAGAAAGUGGGGGAUCUUCGGACCUCACGCUAUCAGAUGAGCCUAGGUCGGAUUAGCUAGUUGGUGGGGUAAAGGCCUACCAAGGCGACGAUCCGUAACUGGUCUGAGAGGAUGAUCAGUCACACUGGAACUGAGACACGGUCCAGACUCCUACGGGAGGCAGCAGUGGGGAAUAUUGGACGAUGGGCGAAAGCCUGAUCCAGCCAUGCCGCGUGUGUGAAGAAGGUCUUCGGAUUGUAAAGCACUUUAAGUGGGGAGGAAGGGCAGUAAGUUAAUACCUUGCUGUUUUGACGUUACCAACAGAAUAAGCACCGGCUAACUUCGUG